rnacentral:rRNA from 1 species
GACGAACGCUGGCGGCGUGCUUAACACAUGCAAGUCGAACGGAAAGGCCUCUUUCGGGGGGUACUCGAGUGGCGAACGGGUGAGUAACACGUGAGUAACCUGCCCUUGACUUUGGGAUAACUUCAGGAAACUGGGGCUAAUACCGGAUAGGAGCUCCUGCUGCAUGGUGGGGGUUGGAAAGUUUCGGCGGUUGGGGAUGGACUCGCGGCUUAUCAGCUUGUUGGUGGGGUAGUGGCUUACCAAGGCUUUGACGGGUAGCCGGCCUGAGAGGGUGACCGGCCACAUUGGGACUGAGAGACGGCGCAGACACCUACGGGAGGCAGAAGUGGGGAAUAUAGCACAAUGGGUGGAAGAGUGAUGCAGAAAAGCCGUGUGCGGGAUGACAGGCUUCGGGUUGUGAAACGCUUUCGCUCAUGACGAGGCUUUGUGUGACGGUAGUGGGUAAAGAAGCACCGGCUAACUACGUG